ACCAUCCUUAAAAGUAUUUAUACAAAAUACUAAUAGAUUCAAUUACUAUAAAAAAAAACUGAAUUUAACUCUCCAUAUCACCCACUCAAUCAUAUCAACUACUCCCUCAACACUACCUGCAAAAAUAUACAUCAAUAUAUUAGUUGACUAACUUGGAUGCCAAAACAAAAUUGGAUACAAAGAGCACAUUAAUUGACUUACUUGGAUGCCAAAACCUUUUCCAAUAGCGGUACAAAAGGGUUCAAAAUUGUUCUUAGAAUCAAUACUAGUUUGAAAAGAGUUAAUCAUUUAAUCAUCUCACAAAAAUAUCACAGAAAAAAUCAAAUUAACAAUACAGCUGAAAUUUGGACUAUUCAAGCUAACACCCAAUGGUUAAUUAUUGAAUUCUAAUUAUUAAGCAAUGACAGGUUGUAGGCUCCAUUCCAACGACUGAAAAUUGUCAUAGAGGCCGGAAAAA